rnacentral:rRNA from 1 species
AUGCCGAUGAUCAGCUGCUGCCACCAGCUCAAGCCUCCGUCUCCGCCCCUUCACCUCCAGCCGGCCGCCCAUCUCCCUGCGCUACGCCGGGCGUGCUUCGCGGCGGCGGCGUGCGUGGUGGCCGUCAGCGCGAUGGGCGCGGUCGACGGCGCGGCCAUGGCGCGGGGACCUGCCGACGACGGCGCGGCGCUCGGGGCAGCGCUGGUGCGCGCGCAGGCGCCGGCGCGGUGGAGCGACCGGAGGCAGUGCCCGCCGUGGCACGCCAACUCGCUGGAGAACGUCGUGCCGGAGAACCUGCCCCGGCCGUCCGCGCGCCGGAGGUAUAACGGCGUCGCGGCCGCCGACAAGGCGCAUGCUCCCGCGCCUGCGGCGUCGCCUGACGCCGUGCUCCCGUUCCUGGCGCUGCGCUCCGGCUCCGGCAUGGGCUGCUUCUCCCUCUGA